CGGGCAGGGGUUGGGAUGGAGAAAUCAGUGCGAUAGCCGACGCAGCAUGCAGUGGAGGCGGCCUGAGCACUUACGCGGCUUCGGGGAGCUCCGAGCCGGCGAUGGCGGCGGAGACGGUGGCGAACUGGCGAUCCAAUAGCUUUGCAGAAAGCCCCCCAAAAUGGAUCGCGAUCAAUAAUCGCGAUCCGAUUAUUUUCAUAAACCCGGAUCGUGAUUAAUAAUCGCGAUCCGAUUAUUUGCACAAAACCCCCUAAUUGCCUAAUUGGAAAACUGUCUUUGUAAAGUAGCUCUUCCCGUC
rnacentral:lncRNA from 1 species